rnacentral:rRNA from 1 species
GAUGAACGCUGGCGGCGUGCUUAACACAUGCAAGUCGAACGGACCAUAUUCGUAUGGUUAGUGGCAGACGGGUGCGUAACACGUGGGUGACCUGCCCUUAAGUGGGGAAUAACUCCGCUAACGCGGAGCUAAUACCGCAUAUGUUCGCUCAUUCGGUUGGGCGAGUAAAGCAGCAAUGCGCUUAGGGAUGGGCCUGCGGCGGAUUAGGUAGUUGGUGGGGUAACGGCCUACCAAGCCGAUGAUCCGUAGGGGGCGUGAGAGCGUGGCCCCCCACACUGGCACUGAGACACGGGCCAGACUCCUACGGGAGGCAGCAGUGAGGAAUAUUGCACAAUGGGCGCAAGCCUGAUGCAGCAACGCCGCGUGAGGGACGAAGGCCUUCGGGUUGUAAACCUCUUUUCUUGAGGGACGAGGAAGGACGGUACCUCAGGAAUAAGUCUCGGCUAACUACGUG